rnacentral:rRNA from 1 species
UGGGGAAUAUUGCGCAAUGGGUGAAAGCCUGACGCAGCGACGCCGCGUGAGGGAUGAAGGUCUUCGGAUCGUAAACCUCUGUCAGCAGGGAAGAAAUUUUAGUGUGCUAAUCAGCAUUAAAUUGACGGUACCUGCAAAGGAAGCACCGGCUAACUCCGUGCCAGCAGCCGCGGUAAUACGGAGGGUGCGAGCGUUAAUCGGAAUUACUGGGCGUAAAGCGCUCGUAGGUGGUAUGUCAAGUCAAGGGUGAAAUCCCCGCGCUCAACGUGGGAACUGCCUUUGAAACUGGUAGACUUGAGUGUGUGAGAGGAUAGUGGAAUUCCAGGUGUAGGAGUGAAAUCCGUAGAUAUCUGGAGGAACAUCAGUGGCGAAGGCGGCUAUCUGGCACAUAACUGACACUGAGGAGCGAAGCGUGGGUAGCAAACAGGAUUAGAUACC